AGGGAAUUGUGCUGCAAAGGGAGUGGGACUGGAGUGAUUGCCUGUCCAGGUGGAAAGCUAUGUCGACCAUGUCCAUACCCUGACGGAAGAGUGGGAUGCCAUUGCCUCUGAGUAUGAGAAGGAGAAUGAGCAGCUCAGAUUGGAGCUGGCACAGCAACGGCUGAAGCAGGAAACCCAGCUGAAGGAGGUGGAGGAGAUGCUGGAGCAGGAAGGUUUAUCCCAGAUCUCCUGCAGUGCUGCCAGUGAACAGGUUGCAUAUUUCCUGGUGGAGCGGGUGGCACUGCUA
rnacentral:lncRNA from 1 species